rnacentral:rRNA from 1 species
GUCCACGCCCUAAACGAUGUCGACUGGUUGUUGGGGGUUUGACACUCUCAGUAACGAAGCUAACGCGUGAAGUCGACCGCCUGGGGAGUACGGCCGCAAGGUUAAAACUCAAAGGAAUUGACGGGGACCCGCACAAGCGGUGGAUUAUGUGGAUUAAUUCGAUGCAACGCGAAAAACCUUACCUACCCUUGACAUGUCCUGGACCCUGCAGAGAUGCGGGGGUGCCCGAAAGGGAACGGGAACACAGGUGCUGCAUGGCUGUCGU